rnacentral:rRNA from 1 species
GAUGAACGCUGGCGGCGUGCCUAAUACAUGCAAGUCGAGCGAAUGGAUUAAGAGCUUGCUCUUAUGAAGUUAGCGGCGGACGGGUGAGUAACACGUGGGUAACCUGCCCAUAAGACUGGGAUAACUCCGGGAAACCGGGGCUAAUACCGGAUAACAUUUUGAACCGCAUGGUUCGAAAUUGAAAGGCGGCUUCGGCUGUCACUUAUGGAUGGACCCGCGUCGCAUUAGCUAGUUGGUGAGGUAGCGGCUCACCAAGGCAACGAUGCGUAGCCGGCCUGAGAGGGUGAUCGGCCACACUGGGACUGAGACACGGCCCAGACUCCUACGGGAGGCAGCAGUAGGGAAUCUUCCGCAAUGGACGAAAGUCUGACGGAGCAACGCCGCGUGAGUGAUGAAGGCUUUCGGGUCGUAAAACUCUGUUGUUAGGGAAGAACAAGUGCUAGUUGAAUAAGCUGGCACCUUGGCGGUACCUAACCAGAAAGCCACGGCUAACUACGUGCCAGCCGCCGCAGUAA